CCUACGGGGGGCAGCAGUGGGGAAUAUUGGACAAUGGGGGGAACCCUGAUCCGGCCAUGCCGCGUGUGUGAAGAAGGCCCUCGGGUUGUAAAGCACUUUCAGUGAGGAAGAACGCCUGGUGGUUAAUACCCAUCAGGAAAGACAUCACUCACAGAAGAAGCACCGGCUAACUCCGUGCCAGCAGCCGCGGUAAUACGGAGGGUGCGAGCGUUAAUCGGAAUUACUGGGCGUAAAGCGCGCGUAGGUGGCUUGAUAAGCCGGUUGUGAAAGCCCCGGGCUCAACCUGGGAACGGCAUCCGGAACUGUCAAGCUAGAGUGCAGGAGAGGAAGGUAGAAUUCCCGGUGUAGCGGUGAAAUGCGUAGAGAUCGGGAGGAAUACCAGUGGCGAAGGCGGCCUUCUGGACUGACACUGACACUGAGGUGCGAAAGCGUGGGUAGCAAACAGGAUUAGAUACCCCUGUAGUC
rnacentral:rRNA from 1 species